CCUUUUAACUUAUUAUAGAUUAUGACAUUUCUUAGUAAAGAAAACCUUAAAACUGUCUACAAUUCCCAUAAUUGCUUAUGGGAUAAUAUCUGUACCGAUAUCAGUUCUACCAUGUUUAUGAUUGAAGAUAAAUGAAACUUUCGAAGUUAGACACAAGUAUGCUCAAAAUUUUAAGACUUUUCAUAUACAGUUAUAAGCAUAUCUCCAUACUCAUGUUUGAAUAUGCAGUAAACAUGAAUGUCCGACACAGAUACUUUAAGAAAAUGAAGAGUCAAGGUAGCAUAGAUUUCAAUUGAUCAAGCAUAUGUGAGAUCCAUCAAUCACAAUUCUUUCUUCUUUUACCUUUUCCUCUUAUGAUGAUCACAUUGCUGUUUGCUUUAUUCAUGAUAGUCAUGGAAUGGCUAUGCAAUUUAGUGUCAUUGAAAGACCUAUUCUUCCGAAAGAUUACACUGCAAUUACUUGAAAUUGUUAUCAACUCUAUCAACUAACUAAAGAUACUCCUUAAACAAGAACAGAUGGAGAAGGAAAGUUAGAGAAAUAUAAAUAUGAAGAAAAUCAAAUUCUAGAACCAAAAUAUAAAAUACAGACAGGACCUAUAACUGAAUAAAAAGCAGAAAGAGGACUUACUAAGCAUGAUAAUGAUACAGAUAAGGUUAAUUCAAUAUUUGAACAGACAAAUUUCCCAUUUAUGUAAACAGCAUCAUCGAUCAAUGUGUGGAAACUAACGGUCCCACCCAGAGGGCCUUCGCCUUUCUCUUGGUCUAUCUCUAGAACUGUCAAAAAAG
rnacentral:lncRNA from 1 species